AUUGAACGCUGGCGGCAUGCCUUACACAUGCAAGUCGAACGGUAACGGGCCUUCGGGUGCCGACGAGUGGCGCACGGGUGGGUAAUACAUCGGAACGUGCCCGAUCUUGGGGGAUAACGAGGCGAAAGCUUUGCUAAUACCGCAUACGAUCUACGGAUGAAAGCAGGGGACCGCAAGGCCUUGCGCGGACGGAGCGGCCGAUGGCAGAUUAGGUAGUUGGUGGGAUAAAAGCUUACCAAGCCGACGAUCGGUAGCUGGUCUGAGAGGAUGAUCGGCCACACGGGGACUGAGACGCGGCCCAGACUCCUACGGGAGGCAGCAGUGGGGAAUUUUGGACAAUGGGCGCAAGCCUGAUCCAGCCAUGCCGCGUGCAGGAUGAAGGCCUUCGGGUUGUAAACUGCUUUUGUACGGAACGAAAAGCCUUCUUUUAAUACAGGAGGGUCAUGACGGUACCGGAAGAAUAAGCACCGGCUAACUACGUG
rnacentral:rRNA from 1 species